CCUACGGGAGGCAGCAGUGGGGAAUAUUGCACAAUGGGGGAAACCCUGAUGCAGCGACGCCGCGUGAGUGAAGAAGUAAUUCGUUACGUACCGCUCUAUCAGCAGGGAAGAAACACUGACCUUACGGUCAGCAGACGGUACCUGAGUAAGAAGCCCCGGCUAACUACGUGCCAGCAGCCGCGGUAAUACGUAGGGGGCAAGUUUUAUCCGGAUUUACUGGGUGUAAAGGGAGCGUAGGCGGUUUAGCAAGUCAGAAGUGAAAGCCCGGGGCUCAACUCCGGGACUGCUUUUGAAACUGUUGAACUAGAUUGCAGGAGAGGUAAGUGGAAUUCCUAGUGUAGCGGUGAAAUGCGUAGAUAUUAGGAGGAACACCAGUGGCGAAGGCGGCUUACUGGACUGUAAAUGACGCUGAGGCUCGAAAGCGUGGGGAGCAAACAGGAUUAGAUACCCUAGUAGUC
rnacentral:rRNA from 1 species